GUCCCAGUUCGGAUUGUAGUCUGCAACCCGACUACAUGAAGCUGGAAUCGCUAGUAAUCGCGGAUCAGAAUGUCGCGGUGAAUACGUUCCCGGGUCUUGUACACACCGCCCGUCACACCAUGGGAGUUGGGAAUGCCCGAAGCCGGUGACCUAACCGAAAGGGAGGAGCCGUCGAAGGCAGGCUUGAUAACUGGGGUGAAGUCGUAACAAGGUAAC
rnacentral:rRNA from 1 species